CUGCUGCCUUCCGUAGGAGUCUGGUCCGUGUCUCAGUACCAGUGUGGGGGACCUCCCUCUCAGAACCCCUACGCAUCGUCGGUUAGGUGGGCCGUUACCCCGCCUACUGCCUAAUGCGCCGCAUGCCCAUCCCUGUCCGGCCGAAGCCUUUGGUCAUGAAAAUAUGCAUCAACAUGACAACAUACGGUAUUAAUCCGCCUUUCGACGGGCUGUCCCAUAGUAAAGGGCAGGUUAGAUACGCGUUACUCACCCGUGCGCCGGUCCG
rnacentral:rRNA from 1 species